GACGAACGCUGGCGGCGUGCUUAACACAUGCAAGUCGAACGAAGUGGCGAACGGGUGAGUAACGCGUAAUCAACCUGCCCUUCAGAGGGGGACAACAGUUGGAAACGACUGCUAAUACCGCAUACUGAAGGAGGGGAUUGCGUCUGAUUAGCUAGUUGGAGGGGUAAUGGCCCACCAAGGCGAUGAUCAGUAGCCGGUCUGGGAGGAUGGACGGGCACAUUGGGACUGGGACACGGGCCAGACUCCUACGGGAGGCAGCAGUGGGGAAACUUCCGCAAUGGACGGAAGUCUUGCGGGACAACGCCGCGGGAGUGAUGACGGCCUUCGGGUUGUAAAGGUCUGUUAAUCGGGACGCGGUACCGGAAUAGAAAGCCACGGCUAACUACGUGCCAGCCGCCGCGGUAAUUC
rnacentral:rRNA from 1 species